CCUACGGGGGGCAGCAGUGGGGAAUAUUGCGCAAUGGGCGAAAGCCUGACGCAGCGACGCCGCGUGAGGGAUGAAGGUCUUCGGAUCGUAAACCUCUGUCAGCAGGGAAGAACGGUCACUGUGCUAAUCAGCAGUGAAUUGACGGUACCUGCAAAGGAAGCACCGGCUAACUCCGUGCCAGCAGCCGCGGUAAUACGGAGGGUGUGAGCGUUAAUCGGAAUUACUGGGCGUAAAGCGCUCGUAGGCGGUAUGUCAAGUCAAGGGUGAAAUCCCCGCGCUCAACGUGGGAACUGCCUUUGAAACUGGCAAACUGGAGUGUGUGAGAGGAUAGUGGAAUUCCAGGUGUAGGAGUGAAAGCCGUAGAUAUCUGGAGGAACAUCAGUGGCGAAGGCGACUAUCUGGCACAUAACUGACGCUGAGGAGCGAAAGCGUGGGUAGCAAACAGGAUUAGAUACCCCGGUAGUC
rnacentral:rRNA from 1 species